rnacentral:rRNA from 1 species
AAGCCAAUGCAUGCUUUUACAGUAUGAAAAUUGGUGAUUUUAUAAUAACUUAGCAAAUCGCAUAGUGAAAACAGGCGAUAAAUCAUUCAAGUUUCUGACCUAUCAGCUUUCGACGGUAUGGUAUUGGCUUACCGUGGCAGUGACGGUUAACGGGGGAUUAGGGUUCGAUUCCGGAGAGGGAGCCUGAGAAACGGCUACCACAUCUAAGGAAGGCAGCAGGCGCGCAAAUUACCCAAUUCUAACAGUUUGAGAGAGGUAGUAACAAGAAAUAACAAUACAAGGCAGUUAAAAUGCUUUGUAAUUGGAAUGAUAGAAAUUUAAACCCUUUUUAAAGUAUCAAUUGGAGGGCAAGUCUGGUGCCAGCAGCCGCGGUAAUUCCAGCUCCAAUAGCGUAUAUUAAAAUUGUUGCAGUUAAAAAGCUCGUAGUUGAAGUUCUGCUAAAAGUAACCGGUCUGCUUUGAAUAAAAGUGGUAUCUUGGUAUGUAUUUAGCAAUGAUGUCCU